rnacentral:sRNA from 1 species
UGGGCGGCAGCCGGGACACCAGCAAGGCCACAGACUGGCAGAGGAGAGGCUGGGCUUCCAGGCAGAGGGAGCCACCUGAGUAAAGCAGGGCAGGCCCGGGAGCGGAGAUCGGCCCGGGCUCCAGCCUGACAUCUGGGGCCCCUUGCUGCCACCCACUGCGGGUUUGGGUGUCUGGGCCCCUCUUGAGUGCCAGCUCCUCCUCAUCUCUUCCAGGAAGCAGUGCAUCGAGCUGGAGCAGCAGUUUGACUUCUUGAAGGACCUGGUGGCAUCUGUUCCCGACAUGCAGGGGGACGGGGAAGACAACCACAUGGAUGGGGACAAGGGCGCCCGCAGGUGGGGCCAGGGCCUGGCAUACAGUGGGGAAGGCCAAGGCCACAGGGCUUGGGGGUGGCCAAGGAGUAGGGAGAACUCCGGGCAGAUGGACUGUACCUUCCCAAAGGGGCCGGAAGCCAGGCAGCGGCGGCCGGAAGAACGGUGGGAUGGGAACGAAAAGCAAGGACAAGAAGCUGUCCGGGACAGACUCGGAGCAGGAGGAUGAAUCUGAGGACACAGAUACUGAUGGGGAAGAGGAGACAUCACAACCCCCACCCCAGGCCAGCCACCCCUCUGCCCACUUUCAGAGCCCCCCAACACCCUUCCUGCCCUUCGCCUCUACUCUGCCUUUGCCCCCAGCGCCCCCAGGCCCCUCAGCACCUGAUGAAGAGGACGAAGAAGAUUACGACUCCUAGCGCCUUCUGCCCCCCAGACGAUAGCCCCUUUUAGUUGGUUUUAGUUGCUCUGGGGGGAGGAGAGAAGGUAGAGCUGUUCUUAAAUUUAUUAAAAAAAAUAAUAAAAGGG